GACGUAGGGGGCGAGCGUUGUCCGGAUUUAUUGGGCGUAAAGAGCUCGUAGGCGGCUUGUCACGUCGACUGUGAAAACCCGGGGCUCAACUCCGGGCCUGCAGUCGAUACGGGCUGGCUUGAGUGCGGUAGGGGAGACUGGAAUUCCUGGUGUAGCGGUGAAAUGCGCAGAUAUCAGGAGGAACACCGGUGGCGAAGGCGGCAUCCUGGACCAAUACUGACGCUGAGGAGCGAAAGCCAGGGGAGCAAACGGG
rnacentral:rRNA from 1 species